rnacentral:rRNA from 1 species
UGGAGGCAGCAGUGGGGAAUAUUGCGCAAUGCCCGAAAGGGUGACGCAGCGACGCCGCGUGGAGGAUGAAGGCCCUAUGGGUCGUAAACUCCUUUUGUGAGGGAAUAAUUUCCCGCUAUAGGCGGGAUUGAAUGUACCUCAGGAAAAAGCAUCGGCUAACUACGUGCCAGCAGCCGCGGUAAUACGUAGGAUGCUAGCGUUGUCCGGAUUUACUGGGUGUAAAGGGAGCGCAGGCGGGUUGGUAAGUCGGUGGUGAAAUUCUCGGGCUUAACCCGAGUACUGCCAUCGAUACUGCUAAUCUUGAGUGCAGAAGUGGUUGAUGGAAUUCUAGGUGUAGCGGUGAAAUGCGUAGAUAUCUAGAAGAACACCGAUGGCGAAGGCAGUCAACUGGUCUGCUACUGACGCUCAUGCUCGAAAGCGUGGGGAUCAAACAGGAUUAGAUACCCGAGUAGUCCU